GUGCCAGCAGCCGCGGUAACACGAACUGUGCAAACGUUAUUCGGAAUCACUGGGCUUAAAGAGUUCGUAGGCGGCAUGUCAAGUCGGGUGUGAAAUCCCUCGGCUCAACCGAGGAAUUGCGUCCGAAACUGGCGUGCUUGAGUGAGAUAGAGGUGAGCGGAACUGAUGGUGGAGCGGUGAAAUGCGUUGAUAUCAUCAGGAACACCGGUGGCGAAAGCGGCUCACUGGGUCUCAACUGACGCUGAGGAACGAAAGCUAGGGGAGCGAACGGGAUUAGAAACCCUGGUAGUCC
rnacentral:rRNA from 1 species